rnacentral:rRNA from 1 species
UACGAGGGAUCCUAGCGUUGUUCGGAAUCAUUGGGCGUAAAGGGUGCGUAGGUGGCCAUACAAGUCAGUUGUGAAAGCCCCGGGCUUAACCCGGGAAGUGCUUCUGAUACUGUUUGGCUUGAGUACUAGAGAGGUGAGUAGAAUUCCAGGUGUAGUGGUGAAAUACGUAGAUAUCUGGAGGAAUACCGGUGGCGAAGGCGGCUCACUGGCUAAGUACUGACACUGAAGCACGAAAGCGUGGGGAUCAAACAGG